ACUAAUUUUCACUCCUCUCGUGCUUGACACUGGUGAUCGCCUGCUUGCUAUGCCCUUGUUAGCCACGAAGCUAACAUAAGGACCCCAUCUGGAAAGAUGCAUUGAAUUUUAUUUCACAAACAGAUCAUAUAGACACCUGUAUUUGCUAUUAGUUGCUCAAAGCAGAAUGUUACGAGCCGGAAGUGUGGUUACCUGCAUGGCCUGCAGGAAUCUGCUUCCCUCCAGAAUGGGGCUGAAGUUUCGAGUACCCCUGCAGAAGCUGCACCCGCUCUCCCGUGCCAUCCACCACCGCUACUCUGCUAACAGCAAUCCACAGAGACCACCUCACUGCUCAGCUGCCCGCCAUUACACAUCUCUCUCCAGACUCCCCAUGCGGCCUCCCAAGUUCCGGUCCGGAGGCCAUGGCUAUCAACAGCAUCGCACCUUCUGGGUGGCCCGUCUCGCUGCCAGACUGCUGAAAUUGAGGUACAUCGUGCUCGGUUCAGCAGUUGGAGGUGGAUAUACAGCAAAGAAGACUUAUGAUGAAUGGAAGGAUAUGCUUCCUGAUAUGAGCCAAUACACAUGGAUUGUGCCAGACUUUGUUUGGGAGUUGAGUGAAAAUUUCGACUUAGACAAGCUCGCCAGUGCUUUGCCUGAAAUAGAGGAAAUAGCCAAACUACUACCUGAUAUGGAAAAGAUCGGAGAGAAUUUUACUUUCCUGAAGAACCUUCUCUCCAGUGGUUUGGGUAGUGAAGUCAAUGGAGCUUCUGGUCUGCGUCUGUUAUUAGAAACCACAGGUGACUCAGCCUUGAGAGAUGUCCCACCAUCAUCUGCAGCUAUGUCUGACAGCAGUGAUAAACAGUUCAAAAAGCAGGGGCUGCUCAGCGAGCUCAUUCUCAUUCAGCAGCAGAUCCAGCAGCAUGAGGAGGAGAUGCGGCGGGCGGCGGCUGCAGCCAGUAAUGCUCCGCCUCCGCCGCGUGAACCCAGUCCCAGCCCGGCCCCGAACCCCAGCCCCUCGCAGCCCAAACGCAAGUCAUCUGAUAAAGAAAAAAUUGACCAGCUUCAGGAAGAACUUCUUCGAACACAGUUGAAGUACCAGCGGAUGCUGGAGCGUCUGGAGAAGGAGAAUAAGGAACUGAGGAAAGUCGUUUUGCAGAAAGAUGACAAGGGUAUUCACCAAAGAAAAGUCAAGAAGUCUUUGAUUGAUUUGUACUCUGAGGUCCUGGACAUUCUCUCAGAUUAUGACUCAAAUUACAAUACCCAAGAUCACCUGCCAAGGGUGGUGGUAGUUGGAGACCAGAGUGCAGGAAAGACCAGUGUGUUGGAGAUGAUUGCUCAGGCCCGGAUCUUCCCCAGAGGCUCUGGAGAAAUGAUGACCAGGUCUCCUGUCAAGGUGACAUUGAGUGAAGGCCCCCACCAUGUAGCAAUGUUCAAAGACAGCACUCGUGAGUUUGACCUCGGGAAAGAGGAAGAUCUGGCAGCCCUACGGCAUGAAAUCGAGCUCAGGAUGAGGAAGAGUGUGAAGGAAGGCCAGACAGUCAGCCCAGAGACCAUCUCUUUAAGUGUUAAAGGCCCAGGAAUCCAGAGAAUGGUGCUGGUUGACUUGCCAGGAGUCAUCAGUACUGUGACAACUGGCAUGGCCUCUGACACAAAAGAAACCAUUUUCAGCAUGAGUAAAGCCUACAUGCAGAAUCCAAAUGCCAUCAUCCUCUGCAUUCAGGAUGGCUCAGUAGAUGCGGAGCGUAGUAUAGUCACUGAUCUUGUCAGUCAGAUGGACCCUCAGGGAAAAAGGACCAUCUUUGUUCUUACCAAGGUUGACCUGGCAGAGAAGAACCUGGCUAGUCCAAGCAGAAUCCAACAAAUAGUUGAAGGCAAAUUAUUUCCAAUGAAGGCAUUGGGCUACUUCGCUGUUGUAACAGGCAAAGGUAGUAGCAAUGAGAGUAUAGAUUCUAUCAAAGACUAUGAGGAAGACUUCUUCCAGAAUUCCAGACUGUUAAGGGAAGGCAUGUUAAAAGCUCACCAGGUGACCACAAAGAACUUGAGUCUUGCUGUGUCAGACUGCUUCUGGAAGAUGGUGAGAGAGUCAGUGGAACAACAAGCAGAUGCCUUCAAAGCAUCCCGAUUUAACCUGGAGACUGAGUGGAAGAACAACUACCCUCGUUUACGAGAGCUCGACAGGAACGAGCUCUAUGAGAAGGCCAAAAAUGAGAUCUUGGAUGAAGUGAUCAGCUUGAGUCAGGUGACACCAAAACACUGGGAGUCCAUCUUACAGAAAAAGCUGUGGGAGAGGGUGUCAACACAUGUGAUUGAGAACAUCUAUCUGCCUGCUGCCCAGACCAUGAACUCUGGCACUUUCAACACCACUGUAGAUAUCAAACUCAAGCAGUGGACUGAUAAACAACUUCCUCAUAAAGCACUGGAGGUUGCUUGGGAGACAUUGCAGGAGGAGUUUGCUCGCUUCAUGGCAGAAUACAAAGGGAAAGACCAGGAUGACAUCUUUGAUAAGCUUAAGGAAGCCGUCAAAGAUGAGAGCAUCAAACGACACAAGUGGAACGAAAGAGCCAUGGACAGCUUGAGAGUGAUUCAACACAAUGCUCUGGAGGAUCGAUCUAUCACAGACAAGCCCCAGUGGGACGCUGCUAUUCAGUUCAUGGAAGAAACGCUACAGUCUCGCCUUAAAGACACGGAAUCAGUAAUAUCAGAUAUGGUUGGGCCAGACUGGAAACAGAGAUGGUUGAACUGGACAAAUCGAACAUCAGAGCAGCACAUCCGUAACGAAACCAGAAAUGAGUUGGAGCGUCUACUAAAGCUGCAUGAGGAUCACACCGCUUACUUGGCCAAUGAUGAGGUCACUACAGUACGCAAAAACCUGGAGGCACGAGGGGUGGAGGUGGACCCCGCACUGAUCAAGGACACGUGGCACCAGCUCUAUCGACGUCACUUCCUGCAGAAAGCUUUGCUUCAUUGUAACCUCUGCCGGCGAGGCUUCUACUACUACCAGAGGCACUUUGUAGAUUCUGAGCUGGAGUGCAAUGACGUAGUUUUGUUCUGGAGGAUCCAGAGGAUGUUGGCCAUCACAGCUAAUACUCUCCGACAACAGCUCACCAAUACAGAGGUGCGGCGCUUAGAGAAGAACGUUAAAGAAGUGUUAGAGGACUUUGGAGAGGACAACGAGAAGAAAGUCCAGCUGAUCACAGGCAGGAGGGUUCAACUGGCAGAAGACCUCAGCUUGAACCCUUAAUUGCCCUUCACAGUGUGGAAGAGGAGACAGUGUGAGAGAGAGUGCUCUUGGCUGCACACUGCCUGCUGUCUGUCAUGUCUUCAGCCCUGAAAAAGUACGUGAAAUUCAGGAGAAACUUGAAGCCUUCAUAGAAGCUCUUCACAAAGAAAAAUAGAACAAAUCAUCUUCCUUUUGGAAACAGUCAUGCCCUUACAGAAGAAAAUGCAUUGAUUUAAGACAACAUCAUCUUUGCCCUUUGACAAUGACUCCUCUCAGCUUCUCCUGUCCUCUGGUUUUAAUGUCCUGCUUCAGCUUUCGAUCCUCUCUCCCACACACACACACACACACACACACACACACACACACACACACACACACACACACACUUUCCCCCUCUAAAAACUGCCCCUGUGUAAGCAAGUGCAGUGAGCAGGAGUCCCUUUAACUUUGCUGCACAUUUAAUCACUGUUUGAGCGCAAGCACUUUCUCAAGUAGAGAAUGGUACCCGUCAGAACACCAUGCUUUAUUCUUUCUUCCCCCAGCGCUUACAAGCCACCAAUGUGUUCACCAGACAUGUUCUGCAAGCACAGGGAUUCAGCAACAAGAGAAAAUGGGGGAAACGACAUGCACAUACAUCUUCUCUCAUCCCUCGUUCCCAAUAAAUGAGAAGUUUGUCUGGGCCUCUCUUUCCCCUGACUGGCUUUAUUAAUUGAGGUGGUGUUUAUUGAGAAGCCACAUGGUUAAAUGCACCUGAUAUUGAUUUGCCUUGCUAAGAAAAGAGAGAAUAUUCCAAAAUUGUCUUUAAUCACCUAUUGCUGUCUUUGUUCAUCUUUUGGAGCUGUGAUUUCUCAUGGUCAAUCUACUGAUGUUUGUGACCAGUAUGUCACAGGUGUUACAGUUAAAAUUAUAUUCAUCUCACCAUCUUCUAAUUUAACAUUUAAAUAGGCCACCAUGUUCUGUAAUGAAGUGUCUACAUCAAUAUAUGCAGUUAUUUGUAUUGUAGAUCUCAUCUGUACAUCUGUCCUGUCCCCGUUUGCUUAGUCACUCUGAGCUUAGUUUAAAAUAUUCAAGAAAGUGAGACUGAAGCCUCAGUUUUGAAGAUGCAAAACACAGCUUUUAUAAAUUGAGGAAGUUACAGCACCAGAUUAUAUCAUCUUCCCCUCCUCAAACAAUUGGAUGAAAAGGCAAUGUCAUAUUCUGUUCGUUACUUUGGCUCUUCACUCAAUUUCCCUCUCACUUUGUUUUGCUUGCUUUCUUUUACCAGAAUUAUACUUUGAAAAUGUAAGGGAUUCGAAAGCAUUUGAUUUACCCCUGUUCAUCUUCAGCUUUAGUGCACUUUUCUUUUUCGCUUGCGCAUUUUAUAUCUUGCUUCCUGGAAUUUUUGCAGUUUGCUUGGGUUUUAUACAAAUAUAAAAUCCACUUCAAUGUCCAAUAAUUUUGAGUGAAGGGGCAACAAACCUUUUGUUUCUGGUAGCUCAUAAAUGUAAAUGGGUAAAUAUACAUGUACUUGUAAAGUAACUCGAAGUUCAUUGAAAUCAUGACUCUGUUAUCACAACGUGAAAAUAUAUGAGUGUGAUGCUUGUAACAAAAUUAUCUUUAGAUUAGUUUAAGAAUGCAACCCCCAUUACCCCCCCCCUUUUUUUUUUUUCUUUUUUGUAGAUUGUACUGUUUGCAUGUUGUACCCCAUCAGAUGUGGUUUAUUUAUUACAUUGGUGUUAAAUAAGAAAUAAUAAAAGUGACUUUAAAUGUACUUUAACAAGAUCUCAUUUUAAGAUGACAUGAAUGUUUCCAACAUGAGUGCAUAUUUUGUAAUUUUCUGGGAGUUUUGCAUGCUGUCAUUUUGGCAACAACCGUUAAACUUUUUGUCAGGUGUCACAGUGCAUGUUUUAUGCCUUCAGUUAUUUUGAACUGUUAAAUGAGAUGUUGUGUUACAUUGCAACAAUAGAAAAUGCAUUUGUCACACUUUAUGAUUGGUAAACACAUCCAAUAUUGAAAGAUCUACAGUUUGACCGUGUUUUGACCUCAUCCAUGGCAUUCUCCUUGUUCAGCGUUCCAGUGCUUAAACAAGCAGCAUAAAAAAAAAAAAAAAAACGAAUGCCAGAUUUCUCACUCAAAGCUUUUGUAAAGCCCCAAAUCGGUCUUACGUCAAGUUAUGUUAGUCAAAUAACACCUGAAAAUGAUUUGUAAGAACUGGAAAAAAUAAUAUAAACAAUACAAAUGCUAUCUUCAGUAAUUUUCGUUAUACUUU